GAUGCCAGGGUCAAAAGGUCAUCCAAUGCAUGCUGCAUGCAAUUGGAUGAGUUUGGGACCCGCAAAACAUGAGAAAGUAGCCCGAUUAGGGCGGAUUUCGAAUGUUUUUAGGAUUUCGUGAGCACGAAGUGCGGAGAAAUCCGCAGGCAUC
rnacentral:sRNA from 1 species